GAAAAGCUGGACCAUGUUAAAGCCGAGAUGCAGAGGAUCUCUGCGGCACACCUAGAUCAGCGCCCUGAGAGGAAAGCAUAUCAUCCAUUUGUGUGGAACAGUCUGAGUCCAUACAGAGACACUACUGAGAUCGACCAUCUCCUCACAAUGUCAGCUGAUCCAGGCAGAAGAAACCAGUAUUCCUCAGUAAAGAAAAGCAGAAAGUAGUCAAAUAUCUGAAGACAUUUUUUCUGAAUCACUGCAUUUAGAUGGGCAUUUAAUGA